ensembl:lncRNA
GUAAGUGCUCCCAGCUGUGUGCUAUGGUCCUCUUAAGUGGUGUCGUUAACUAUUUUGGAAGCGCUCUUCCGUGAGCCCCUCGAAUGAGGGCAAGGUCUUAGGCACCUGUGCAGCCGAGCUCAGAGACCCCCCCCCCCCAUAUGCCUUUCUGUGCUUUAUCUGGAACGAUCGAUACCCGAGGUCGGUUUUGGAAAGCGGCUUCCCGCGCUGAUCCGGUGCGGUGGGGACCUGAAGAUGCGCGGCAGCCUCCCGGACCACCGCGCGAUCCCUGGAAGGCCGGCGCGCCCAACCAGCCUCUUCCCCGACUUUCCCUCGCUGCUUGAGUUUUCUAGAGCCUCUUUCCCUUCCACUCUCAGUCUUCCCUUCCUUUCUAUGAGCUCUCGCGGGCUCCACAUUCAUUUUCUACUUUGAGUAGCCACGUCUCUUUCAACCCGCGCUCCCUCAACCCUUAAGUCAUCCAUUAAGUUCCUUUUUCACUUUUUUCUUCCAUCCCCCACGCCCUCGAUCUUUGGUUGCCAAUACUGAUCUUUCUUAGCUAGUGAUUGUAUUUCGCGUCUCUGCUCCUUAACCAAAGGCGCCCUAACCUCACGGCUCUCCAUGCCUCGGGUUUUCCCUCUUGGUCUCUCGCCUCCCAUCGUCAGGGCCAGACCUGAGCAGACACUUCACUGCCUGGCGAGCAAGACCGCUCCGCCACCUCCCAGCGGCGGGGCAGGAGCAAGUUAACAUCUUGAAAAGAUGGAAAAAUCUGCAGCGCCCCCUUAGGAGCAGCUUCCGGCAUCGGCCCUUAACCCUGGCCCGGGAAGGGAGCAGAGGUGGGAGGUGUGGGUGGGCAGAGCUGGGGAAACCGGAUCUCGUGUCGGUGUGACCGGCCCUGAAGGUUUUCUCUCCCAGGGUUUUCUUUCCCCUGUUCUUUCCCCCUCCCCCCUCUCUCCAGACAAAAAUACCCAGCAAUGUUUCUUUGGCUGCGCUGUCGACUUUCGCCUCCUAAUCUCGGUUAAAUCAACUCGGGAUCACUGAUGCAGGUUUGCAGGACACUUAUAAAGAACAGUAGAAGGAAUGAAAUGAGCCAUUCAGAACUGUGUCCUGAAGUUUACCAAGUUCUGUGCACCUGCUGCUGCUGCUGCUGCUUCUAAGUCGAUUCAUUUGUGUCCGACUCUGUGCGACCCCAUAGACAGCAGCCCACCAGGCUCCUGCGUCCCUGGGAUUCUCCAAGCAAGAACACUGGAGUGGGUUGCCAUGUCCUUCUCCAGUGCAUGAAAGUGAAGAGUGAAAGUGAAGUCGCUCAGUUGUGUCCGACUCUUAGCGACUCCAUGGACUGCAGCCUACCAGGCUCCUCCGUCCAUGGGAUUUUCCAGGCAAGAGCACUGGAGUGGGGUGCCAUCGCCUUCUCCAUCUGUGCACCUAGGGCAAAGUAUUUACUUCUGUGAGCCUCAGUGUCCUUAUCUAUAUAGGAGGAAAAUCAAUUUAACCUGAGCUUCCUACCUUAUAGGUUGUUAUGAAAAUCAUAUGUGAUCAUAUAUGUUUAUAUAUGUAUGUAUAUAUGUAUAUUUAAUAUAUGUGUAUAUGUAUAUGAUAACACGUAGGAAUCAUAUAAGAUAACGUAUGUGUCAGUCAGGUUAGGCCAUGUUAUGCUGUGGAAACAAGACAAAAAUCUCAGUGAUCUAAGCAACACAAUUUUAUUUUUUGUUCAAAAUAAAAAACCAUAACAAAUCAGUUAGUGCUUAGCUUGUUAUCUCUUAGGAA